rnacentral:lncRNA from 1 species
UGGAUGUCCCGAAACUCAAGUGUGAGCUGGCAUGUGGGUGCUUGGAGCUGAGUCUGGGUCCUCUGUAAAAGCAGGUCUACUGCCCCUCAGGUAUCCGUGGAGCUGGCUGAGGCAGAGGAUGAGCUUGAAGUCCUGACCUCCAGCAUCCAUUUCGGGAAUGGCUCGGAUUACAAACCUGUUUCCCUCCACUACCUCAUUUUAGAUGGCCCUUGGUAGAAGCUGUACAGAUGAGAAUAACUGAUCUUGGACAUUCAUCUUCACAGAUUAUAAGGGAUGGGGCCCUAUGAAGUUUCCCCUAUCUGCAUUGGCACACCAGUGCUGUCAUUAUGAAGGUCUUGCUUGGGCAACCAUAUUGUUGAGAUUUCGUGAGUAUACCAUCCCUGUCACAUCUAGGAGACACUAUUUAGCAGCAGGUGUCCUGGCCCUAUGGCUUUUAGAGUCUUUUUGCCUCUCUCUUCUGUAAUGGUCCCUGAGCCUUAGGUAUGGAGGUUGUUGUGUAGAUGUCCCUACUGCAUUUGGGCAUCCCACAGUUACUUAUUCUUUGUACUGUCCAGUUGUUGAUCUCUGUAGGAGCCUCUGUCUGCUGCAAAAAGAGGCUUCUCUGAG